AUACGUAGGUGGCAAGCGUUGUCCGGAAUUACUGGGUGUAAAGGGAGCGUAGGCGGGAAGACAAGUCAAGUGUCAAAUCUAUCGGCUCAACCGGUAGUCGCGCUUGAAACUGUUUUUCUUGAGUGGAGUAGAGGCAGGCGGAAUUCCUAGUGUAGCGGUGAAGUGCGUAGAUAUUAGGAGGAACACCAGUGGCGAAGGCGGCCUGCUGGGCUUUUACUGACGCUGAGGCUCGAAAGUGUGGGGAGCAAACAGGAUUAGAUACCCUGGUAGUCCACACUGUAAACGAUGAUUACUAGGUGUGGGGGGUCUGACCCCUUCCGUGCCGGAGUUAACACAAUAAGUAAUCCACCUGGGGAGUACGGCCGCAAGGUUGAA
rnacentral:rRNA from 1 species